CGAUAUUGAUAACCCAAUAGCAUUUUAUCGGUUCGAGCUAUCGAUUAUACCCAAUAUAUGCCUAGCCCUAGAUUUAUCUCAUCCCAAAAAUUGGACACCGAGAAUUUGUCAAGUCUUGAUCUAGAAAAAGAAUCUUCCGAUCUAGACUGAGUGAAUCUGGCAACUGUUAAAGGAAGGUAAACAAGAAACUGGUUAUCGAUAAACUCCAAAAACUCCUACAUAG
rnacentral:lncRNA from 1 species